rnacentral:tRNA from 1 species
GGGGAAAUAGCUCAGUGGUUAGAGAUUAGGCCUUUUGGCCGUAGGUCCCGGGUUUGAAUCUCUCUAGUUUUUCCG